rnacentral:rRNA from 1 species
GGGUUCAGAACGUCGUGAGACAGUUCGGUCUCUAUCUAUCGUGGGCGUAUGAAAUUUGCGUGGCUCUGACACUAGUACGAGAGGACCGUGUUGGACAGACCUCUGGUUUACCGGUUGUGCCGCCAGGUGCAUCGCCGGGUAUCUAAGUCUGGAUCGGAUAAGUGCUGAAAGCAUCUAAGUACGAAGCCGGCCACAAGAUAAGAUUUCU